GACUCACCUAUAUGUGCAGUCGUGAGGCCGCGAUUAUGGGAAAUGGGCGAUUUCCUAAAAAGCACAUGAUAGAUAUCUGCGCAUGGCCAUAACAGCGCAACCCGCUUAGAACCCAGAUCGGGCUAUAUUAUGUGUGUUGUUGAUUUAAUCUGAGCCAUGGACCGAGGUUCAAGGUUAAGACCACCUUGGCUCCACAGAUGUAAUCAAUUGUCACUAAGUGAAGGUUCAAACCGAAAGGUACCUACACCUAUUACAUAAUAUAAGAUAUCCAGCAUUUUAUUUUGAUUUUAAAAUUAUUUAAAUUUUUUGUGGGGGAUUGUUGGAAAAAAUUUAAAUGCGCACGCGACCCGAAAUUUGGCCGCGUGCGCGUUUGAGAGAAAAAAAAAGAAAGGGGUAACGCCCAGCGGGCGUUACGCUUUGGAAACGGCCGCGGCCGCGGCCGCGUGCUCGUUUGAAAACGAAAACGCCAACGGGCGUUUUCGUUCGCAUUAAAUGGACGCGUGCGCCCAUUGGCGCACGUUGCGCGGACGCGUCCGCGGAAGGCGCGGACGCGUCCGCCGAAAAGACCAUAUUGCCCCCGAUUAAAUCCCUAUAUAAACCCCUCCAUUUCAUCUCUUUAGAAACACGAAAAAUUUCAGAAAAAUAGUGGAAAAAUUCUGAAAAAAAUUCUUCUCCC
rnacentral:lncRNA from 1 species